GGCUCCGUGGUGUAACGGUAACACGCCCUCUCUUCAUGUUCAUUGGGCUUCAAGUUUGGAGGGAGUCUCUUGUUCGACUCAAGGCGAGGCCG